GAUGAACGCUGGCGGCGUGCCUAAUACAUGCAAGUCGAGCGAACGGACGAGAAGCUUGCUUCUCUGAUGUUAGCGGCGGACGGGUGAGUAACACGUGGAUAACCUACCUAUAAGACUGGGAUAACUUCGGGAAACCGGAGCUAAUACCGGAUAAUAUUUUGAACCGCAUGGUUCAAAAGUGAAAGACGGUCUUGCUGUCACUUAUAGAUGGAUCCGCGCUGCAUUAGCUAGUUGGUAAGGUAACGGCUUACCAAGGCAACGAUGCAUAGCCGACCUGAGAGGGUGAUCGGCCACACUGGAGCUGAGACACGGUCCAGACUCCUACGGGAGGCAGCAGUAGGGAAUCUUCCGCAAUGGGCGAAAGCCUGACGGAGCAACGCCGCGUGAGUGAUGAAGGUCUUCGGAUCGUAAAACUCUGUUAUUAGGGAAGAACAUAUGUGUAAGUAACUGUGCACAUCUUGACGGUACCUAAUCAGAAAGCCACGGCUAACUACGUGCCAGCAGCCGCGGUAAUACGUAGGUGGCAAGCGUUAUCCGGAAUUAUUGGGCGUAAAGCGCGCGUAGGCGGUUUUUUAAGUCUGAUGUGAAAGCCCACGGCUCAACCGUGGAGGGUCAUUGGAAACUGGAAAACUUGAGUGCAGAAGAGGAAAGUGGAAUUCCAUGUGUAGCGGUGAAAUGCGCAGAGAUAUGGAGGAACACCAGUGGCGAAGGCGACUUUCUGGUCUGUAACUGACGCUGAUGUGCGAAAGCGUGGGGAUCAAACAGGAUUAGAUACCCUGGUAGUCCACGCCGUAAACGAUGAGUGCUAAGUGUUAGGGGGUUUCCGCCCCUUAGUGCUGCAGCUAACGCAUUAAGCACACCGCCUGGGGAGUACGACCGCAAGGUUGAAACUCAAAGGAAUCGACGGGGACCCGCACAAGCGGUGGAGCAUGUGGUUUAAUUCGAAGCAACGCGAAGAACCUUACCAAAUCUUGACAUCCUUUGACAACUCUAGAGAUAGAGCCUUCCCCUUCGGGGGACAAAGUGACAGGUGGUGCAUGGUUGUCGUCAGCUCGUGUCGUGAGAUGUUGGGUUAAGUCCCGCAACGAGCGCAACCCUUAAGCUUAGUUGCCAUCAUUAAGUUGGGCACUCUAAGUUGACUGCCGGUGACAAACCGGAGGAAGGUGGGGAUGACGUCAAAUCAUCAUGCCCCUUAUGAUUUGGGCUACACACGUGCUACAAUGGACAAUACAAAGGGCAGCGAAACCGCGAGGUCAAGCAAAUCCCAUAAAGUUGUUCUCAGUUCGGAUUGUAGUCUGCAACUCGACUACAUGAAGCUGGAAUCGCUAGUAAUCGUAGAUCAGCAUGCUACGGUGAAUACGUUCCCGGGUCU
rnacentral:rRNA from 1 species